rnacentral:rRNA from 1 species
GACGAACGCUGGCGGCGUGCUUAACACAUGCAAGUCGAACGGUGAAAGCGGAGCUUGCUCCGCUGGAUCAGUGGCGAACGGGUGAGUAACACGUGGGCAACCUGCCCCUCACUUCGGGAUAACUCCGGGAAACCGGGGCUAAUACCGGAUAUGACCUCCUUGGGCAUCCUUGGAGGUGGAAAGUUUUUCGGUGAGGGAUGGGCCCGCGGCCUAUCAGCUUGUUGGUGAGGUAGUGGCUCACCAAGGCGACGCCGGGUAGCCGGCCUGAGAGGGGGACCGGCCAAACGUGGACUGAGACACGGCCGAGACUCCUACGGGAGGCAGCAGUGGGGAAUAUUGAGCCAUGGGCGAAAGCCUGACGCAGCAACGCCGCGUGCUGGAUGACGACCUUCGGGUUGUAAACCGCUUUCAGCAGGGAAGAAGCCGCAAGGUGACGGUACCUGCAGAAGAAGCACCGGCUAACUACGUGCCAGCAGCCGCCGUAA